GGCGACCGGCGCACGGGUGAGUAACACGUAUCCAACCUGCCGUCUACUCUUGGACAGCCUUCUGAAAGGAAGAUUAAUACAAGAUGGCAUCAUGAGUCCGCAUGUUCACAUGAUUAAAGGUAUUCCGGUAGACGAUGGGGAUGCGUUCCAUUAGAUAGUAGGCGGGGUAACGGCCCACCUAGUCUUCGAUGGAUAGGGGUUCUGAGAGGAAGGUCCCCCACAUUGGAACUGAGACACGGUCCAAACUCCUACGGGAGGCAGCAGUGAGGAAUAUUGGUCAAUGGGCGAGAGCCUGAACCAGCCAAGUAGCGUGAAGGAUGACUGCCCUAUGGGUUGUAAACUUCUUUUAUAAAGGAAUAAAGUCGGGUAUGGAUACCCGUUUGCAUGUACUUUAUGAAUAAGGAUCGGCUAACUCCGUGCCAGCAGCCGCGGUAAUACGGAGGAUCCGAGCGUUAUCCGGAUUUAUUGGGUUUAAAGGGAGCGUAGAUGGAUGUUUAAGUCAGUUGUGAAAGUUUGCGGCGCAACCGUAAAAUUGCAGUUGAUACUGGAUAUCUUGAGUGCAGUUGAGGCAGGCGGAAUUCGUGGUGUAGCGGUGAAAUGCUUAGAUAUCACGAAGAACUCCGAUUGCGAAGGCAGCCUGCUAAGCUGCAACUGACAUUGAGGCUCGAAAGUGUGGGUAUCAAACAGGAUUAGAUACCCUGGUAGUCCACACGGUAAACGAUGAAUACUCGCUGUUUGCGAUAUACUGCAAGCGGCCAAGCGAAAGCGUUAAGUAUUCCACCUGGGGAGUACGCCGGCAACGGUGAAACUCAAAGGAAUUGACGGGGGCCCGCACAAGCGGAGGAACAUGUGGUUUAAUUCGAUGAUACGCGAGGAACCUUACCCGGGCUUAAAUUGCAGAUGAAUUACGGUGAAAGCCGUAAGCCGCAAGGCAUCUGUGAAGGUGCUGCAUGGUUGUCGUCAGCUCGUGCCGUGAGGUGUCGGCUUAAGUGCCAUAACGAGCGCAACCCUUGUUGUCAGUUACUAACAGGUUCCGCUGAGGACUCUGACAAGACUGCCAUCGUAAGAUGUGAGGAAGGUGGGGAUGACGUCAAAUCAGCACGGCCCUUACGUCCGGGGCUACACACGUGUUACAAUGGGGGGUACAGAGGGCCGCUACCACGCGAGUGGAUGCCAAUCCCCAAAACCUCUCUCAGUUCGGACUGGAGUCUGCAACCCGACUCCACGAAGCUGGAUUCGCUAGUAAUCGCGCAUCAGCCACGGCGCGGUGAAUACGUUCCCGGGCCUUGUACACACCGCCCGUCAAGCCAUGGGAGCCGGGGGUACCUGAAGUGCGUAACCGCGAGGAGCGCCCUAGGGUAAAACUGGUGA
rnacentral:rRNA from 1 species